rnacentral:RNase_P_RNA from 2 species
AAAGCAGGCCGCCUUAUCGCUGUUCCUUUAGAGGGAUGGAGGAAAGUCCGGACACCACAGGGCAGCAUAGUGGGUAACGCCCACCGGUUCCGUCCCGAUAGCUAUCGGGUUAGGGAUUAGGACAAGUGCAGCAGAAAGGAUGUACAGGUAAUGCUGUAGUGAAAUCAGGUAAACUCUAUGCGGUGCAAUGCCAUGUAAACCGGUGCUUGCAGACGGCCCGUCUGCUACCGGAGGGUAGGCAGCUCAAGGUUUUUGGUAACAAAAACUUCAGAUAAAUGAUAAGGGGAGUCUGAUUUUUUCAGGCUUUACAGAAUCCGGCUUACAGGCCUGCUUUAUUU